rnacentral:tRNA from 2 species
UAGCUCAACUGGAUAGAGUACCUGACUACGAAUCAGGCGGUUAGAGGUUCGACUCCUCU